ACCUCUCAGGAGAAACAGCAGCAUGAAAACUGUGCCUGCCCUCCUGCUCGUGGGGAUGCUCAUCCUCUGGGCUGAGCUGCCAUCAGGCACUGCCUGGUCCUGCCCUGAGGUCCACAUCACCUGUGCCAUGGUCAACCCGAGGAACGACUGCUACAGCGACCGGCAGUGCCCGCGUGGCAAGAAGUGCUGCAAGACCUUCUGUGGGCGGCGAUGCAUCUCGCGCAUCAACCUGACCUACGUGUGAGCUGCUGCUCCCAGCAUAGCCAGAGAGUGCCUGUGUCCCCGUGCCAUCUCCAGCCCCAUGCACCUGCAGAAGGACCAGCUCGCAGGGGACAGGGACAGCUUCGUGCUCGCACUCUGAGAUCUUCUCUGCUGCUAUGUGCCAUCUUCUCACCCUCUUCCAUCCUUAUCCGCUGCUGUUACAACAAAUAAAAGCUUGU